rnacentral:rRNA from 1 species
UGGGGAAUUUUGGACAAUGGGGGCAACCCUGAUCCAGCGACGCCGCGUGUGUGAAGAAGGCCUGCGGGUUGUAAAGCACUUUCGUUGGGAACGAAAUAUGCCGACCUAAUACGUCGGUAGGCUGACGUUACCCAAAUAAGAAGCACCGGCUAACUCUGUGCCAGCAGCCGCGGUAAUACAGAGGGUGCGAGCGUUAAUCGGAAUUACUGGGCGUAAAGCGAGUGUAGGCGGCUUCGUAAGUCGGAUGUGAAAGCCCUGGGCUUAACCUGGGAAUGCCAUUCGAUACUGCGCGGCUAGAGUUUGAUAGAGGAAAGUGGAAUUCCAGGUGUAGCGGUGAAAUGCGUAGAUAUCUGGAGGAACAUCAGUGGCGAAGGCGGCUUUCUGGAUCAAAACUGACGCUGAGGCUCGAAAGCGUGGGUAGCAAACAGGAUUAGAUACCCUGGUAGUCCACGCCCUAAACGAUGUCAACUAGACGUUGGCCCCAUUUAAGGGGUUAGUGUCGAAGCUAACGCGUUAAGUUGACCGCCUGGGGAGUACGGCCGCAAGGUUG